AGGGUUUUAAAUGCAUUGAUGGUUCAAUUGGGAUGUUUUAAUAUGUUAAUAAUAAUGUGGCUGUUUUACUUGUAAAUUGGUCUUCUACAUUGAAAAUUCUGCAUCAGAGAUCAGAACAUAUUUGGGAGAGAAAAGUGUAAAGGUUUGUUCGUUUAUUGAAAUGGAUUUCCGUUUACUCUUAGUUACAAAAGAGUAUAAUAUCAACAAAUUUAAAAUUUCAAGGGCUUAAAAUGUACGCAAAAUACAGGGGCUUCAUGUUAAUAUGAAUUAAAGUUCAAUGGUUUAAAUAUGCAUUCUUCCAAAGGAGAUAUUAAGGUUUCCUUAACUUGGUAUUUGGUCUUCACCUCAUUUUUAGUGUCAUAAUACAUUGAAUUGUAUGUCAUGUUAGAUUUCCAGUGAAAUUCUUGUCGAAAUCUCACUAACAUUAGAUAAGAGUGCACUAAUUGCAACAAAAUUAGAGUUCGGUUACCAAAUUAAAGUUGUAUGAUCACAAUUGAAAAUUUGAGUAGAGUUCAAUGAACAUUAGAACAAUAUACCCUCAAUUCCUUUUUAACCCAAAACAAAAAUGUAGAUUGUGGCAAACGACAAUUAGCAUAAAGCAAAGCUAAUAGGUAUAUAAGAAGGAUGCUAUAAAUACUAAAAUCAGAUGAAACAUCAAUUUCAUCAAUUACUA
rnacentral:misc_RNA from 1 species